AAAAGUCUCUAUCGAGGUUAAAGGUACCCGUACCGCAAACCGACACAGGUGGGUGAGGAGAGUAUCCUAAGGCCAGCGAGAGAACUGUUGUUAAGGAACUCGGCAAAAUGACCCCGUAACUUAGGGAUAAGGGGUGCCACCAUCAGGUGGCCGCAGAGAAUAGGCCCAAGCGACUGUUUACCAAAAACAUAGGUUUCUGCUAAGUCGCAAGACGAUGUAUAGGAGCUGACGCCUGCCCGGUGCUGGAAGGUUAAGGGGAUCUGUUAGAGCAAUCGAAGCAGUGAACUUAAGCCCCAGUAAACGGCGGCCGUAACUAUAACGGUCCUAAGGUAGCGAAAUUCCUUGUCGGGUAAGUUCCGACCCGCACGAAAGGCGUAACGAUUUGGGCACUGUCUCAACAACAGACUCGGUGAAAUUGUAAUUCCGGUGAAGAUGCCGGAUACCUGCGACAGGACGGAAAGACCCCAUGGAGCUUUACUGUAGCUUGACAUUGGGUCUUGGUACUACAUGUACAGGAUAGGUGGGAGGCUUUGAAACCAGGACGCCAGUUUUGGCGGAGCCAUCCUUGGGAUACCACCCUUGUAGUACUGGGACUCUAACCAUAGGCCAUGAAUCUGGUCUUGGGACACUGUCAGGUGGGCAGUUUGACUGGGGCGGUCGCCUCCCAAAAGGUAACGGAGGCGCUCAAAGGUUCUCUCAGUACGGUCGGAAAUCGUACGUAGAGUGUAAAGGCAAAAGAG
rnacentral:rRNA from 1 species